rnacentral:lncRNA from 1 species
CAGAUGAGGAAAUUCACUUCAGCAGGGAAUCUGCUAAGCGUGGCAGGAUUCCUGCUCUGGACUCUCAAAGCCUCCCGUUAAUGGAAACAGCAGGUUAACCUGGUCUGACCAACAGGAAGCCACGUGACCCAAUCUCUGUACCACGGAUGCCUUGAACGUGCAGCUUAGACCUCGAGAGAGACUCGGGGAGACAAUUGCCAUUAUCAGAGGGACGAACCCAGUCAUGGAGAGUGUGCUCCUCAGCCAGGGUCCUCCUGCACGAAAGCAACCGAAGCAGAAAACUGAGGGUCAAUGUGGCGAGAACAAAGCGGAAACUCAGUCUCCAGGAGAAAACCAGAUCUGAUGAGCACUCACGGGCUGGGGAAAGGCUCGGUGGGUGAAGUGCCUGUCCUGCAAACAUGGGGACCUGCGUUCAGAUCUCCACCCCGGUGUCAGCAGCCAGCAAGGGGGCUGCAGCUGUAACCCCAGUGCUGGGAUGGGAGCCGAGGCCUGUCCAUCACUAGAGCUCAGUGGCCAGGCAAUCUAACCAAUCUGUGAGCUCAGGAUUUAGUGAGAGGGAGGAGGGAGACAUAAACCAAAUAAAUAAAUGUAAUUGUAAAUAAAU